rnacentral:pre_miRNA from 1 species
GUGCAUUGUAGUUGCAUUGCAUUAGCCAACUAUUAUGCAAUGCAUCUGCAGUGCAAAC